rnacentral:lncRNA from 1 species
GAGAGAGGGUGUGGAUGAAUGAGACAGAAGUUAAACUCACCUAGGGGAGAGAUAUUUUCUGUUGGAAAGUAGUAGAUAUCACCCUCAAACAUAAAAGCUAUUCGUGAGGGUAAUUUUCUGAGGUUGGCUGAAAGUUCUGCUCGAUAUCUCCUUACUCCUGAACCCAAGUUGAUGGAGCAACCAUAUUCUAAAGACUGCCAACAGUGGGAUAGAGGGAAAGAGA